AUUGAACGCUGGCGGCAUGCCUUAUACAUGCAAGUCGGACGAGUGGCGAACGGGUGAGUAACAGAUCGGAACGUACCUAGCAAUGGGGGAUAACUAAUCGAAAGAUUAGCUAAUACUGCUUAUUAUUCGAGCGGCCGAUACUUGAUUAGCUGGUUGGUGGGGUAAAGGCCUACCAAGGCGACGAUCAGCAGCGGGUCUGAGAGGAUGGUCGGCCACACUGGGACUGAGACACGGCCCAGACUCCUACGGGAGGCAGCAGUGGGGAAUUUUGGACAAUGGGCGCAAGCCUGAUCCAGCCAUGCCGCGUGUCUGAAGAAGGCCUUCGGGUUGUAAAGGACUUUUGUCAGGGAAGCGGUACCUGAAGAGUAAGCACCGGCUAACUACGUGCCAGCAGCCGCGGUAAUAC
rnacentral:rRNA from 1 species